rnacentral:lncRNA from 1 species
UCCCUUUGAAUAAUAGUCAGGAUAUAUGCAAAUUUUUCUUUUCAGACUUUUGCUACAUGCUAUUUUCUUGCUGGUGGCCCUCUCCCUUUCUCAAAUUUUUGGCCUUGUCCACAUUAUUAUUCAUUAGUCCCUAUCUUUCUUAAUUCUAAAGUACAAAGUUCCUUUUCAUUUUUUAAAGUUAUUUUUUAAAUUAAGUUAUCCUACAACCCUCUUUUUUUUUUUUUUUGGUGCAAAUGUAAAAGUUCUUGAUGAGGAAAUUUUCCCUUUUUGGUACUUCAAAGGGAAAUGUUUAAAGCUGUAAGGUACUUCAUGCUCUUAACCACACUGUAGAAUUAAAAGUUCACUAAUUUGACUGGAGCUUGCUUUAUUGCAUACCAAAGUCAUCAUAUUGGGAAAGAUGAAGAAAACCUGUAAAUUUUUUCAUGAAACCAUGAGGGUUUGAUUUAAGUGAUGGAAACUUCAUGAAAGUCUCUUUGUGCUGUAAAAAUUAAGAGCAGACAUGAAUUAUUACAACUGCUCAACAUAACUUAAUAGGGUGGAAACUUGGUAAACUGCUGUAAUUUGGUUGCUCUGGAGUUCUGUGGCCAUACCACAGAUUUCUUCAUGUCUCAUACCACGGAUUUCUUCAUUCCCCAGUGUACAGCAUAGCCUGCUGCAGCCUGCAUGAGAAAUGGGACAAGUGUGCUUAGCUGUGAGUUGGAUCCACUAUAAUAAGAUUAUCCCAGAGCUACACAGACCUCAGCAAGCAGCUAUUUUAAGCAGGGAAUAGCAGAGAACAAGAGCAAACAGCCGCAAAAUAUGUCCAGCUGUCUCCCUUUCUAGAAUUCCAGGAUGGAAAGUGUUGCUGUGGUGUGCAUACUGUGAGCCUCAGUGCUCCUUCCACUCUGCCCAUGAGUGCAUCAGCCACCCAACGCAUUGAGCAGCAAUGCCAGACCAAGUCCGGCCACAGAGGGACCCGAGUUCAGCUUGGAAAUCUUGUAUAUCAGUGGGGUACGGUCACUGCCACCCCCUGCCUGCUUUAGACUGACCUGGGGCUUGUUGGACUGACAGAAGACUCAGCAGACAGCCUGGCUUGGCUUCUCACGCGUUAAACUC